rnacentral:rRNA from 1 species
CGAAGAUCGAGGUAGUGACGAAAAAUAACGAUCCAGGACUCAUCCGAGGCCCUGGAAUCGGAAUGAGUACACUUUAAAACCGUCCCCGAGGAUCUAUUGGAGGGCAAGUCUGGUGCCAGCAGCCGCGGUAAUUCCAGCUCCAAUAGCGUAUAUUAAAGUUGUUGUGGUUAAAAAGCUCGUAGUUGGAUCUCGGCGGACUGAGGGCGGUUUGCUUGCUAGUAUUACUGCCCUAUAGUCCGUAGUUUUGCCAGAGGUUUCGGGGUGCUCUUAAUCGAGUGUCCCGGGAUGCUGGCAGGUUUACUUUGAAAAAAUUAGAGUGCUCAAAGCAGGCUAUUACGCCUGAAUAUUCGUGCAUGGAAUAAUAGAAUAGGAAGUCGUUUCUAUUUUGUUGGUUUUCGGAAAUCGACUUAAUGAUUAAUAGGGACAGUCGGGGGCAUUUGUAUUCAAACGACAGAGGUGAAAUUCUUGGACCGUUUGAAGACAAACUACUGCGAAAGCAUUUGCCAAGAAUGUUUUCAUUAAUCAAGAACGAAAGUUAAAGGUUCGAAGGCGAUUAGAUACCGCCCUAGUUUUAACCAUAAACGAUGCCAGCUAGCGAUCUGCGGACGUUUUUUUUGUAGACUCCGCAGGAAGCUUCCGGGAAACCAAAGCAUUUGGGUUCCAGGGGAAGUAUGGUUGCAAAGCUGAAACUUAAAGGAAUUGACGGAAGGGCACCACCAGGAGUGGAGCCUGUGGCUUAAUUUGACUCAACACGGGAAAUCUCACCAGGCCCGGACACUGGAAGGAUUGACAGAUUGAUAGCUCUUUCUUGAUUCGGUGGGUGGUGGUGCAUGGCCGUUCUUAGUUGGUGGAGUGAUUUGUCUGGUUAAUUCCGAUAACGAACGAGACUCUGUCCUGCUAAAUAGUGUCUGCUUCUCUUUUGAGCAGACAAUUCUUCUUAGAGGGACUGGCGACUCUUAGUCGCACGAGAUUGAGCAAUAACAGGUCUGUGAUGCCCUUAGAUGUUCUGGGCCGCACACGCGCUACACUGAAUAGAUCAGCGUGUUCUCCCUUUCCGAGAGGAACGGGUAAACCGCUGAACCCUAUUCGUGGUAGGGAUCGGGGCUUGCAAUUAUUCCCCGUGAACCAGGAAUUCCCAGUAGGCGCAAGUCAUAAGCUUGCGUCGAUUACGUCCCUGCCCUUUGUACACACCGCCCGUCGCUACUACCGAUUGAACGUUUUAGUGAGGUCCUCGGACUGUUUGCCUGGCGGAUUACUCUGCCUGGCU